AGCGAACGUUAGCGGCGGGCCUAACACAUGCAAGUCGAGCGAGAAAGUGGCUUCGGCCACGAGUAAAGCGGCGGACGGGUGAGUAACACGUAGGUAAUCUUCCCUUGAGCGGGGGACAACGAGCCGAAAGGCUCGCUAAUACCGCAUACGUUUCCAGAGACUCUGGUCUUUGGAAGGAAAGCUAGGCCGCAAGGUCCGGCACUCGAGGAGGAGCCUGCGUCGCAUCAGCUAGUUGGUGGGGUAACGGCCUACCAAGGCGAAGGCGCGUAGCUGGUCUGAGAGGAUGAUCAGCCACACUGGGACUGAGACACGGCCCAGACUCCUACGGGAGGCAGCAGUGGGGAAUAUUGGACAAUGGGCGCAAGCCUGAUCCAGCCACGCCGCGUGAGUGAUGAAGGCCUUCGGGUCGUAAAGCUCUGUGGGGAGGGACGAACCGCUGCACGUUCAUAGCGUGCAGCAUGACGGUACCUCCUUAGCAAGCACCGGCUAACUUCGUGCCAGCCGCCGCGGUAA
rnacentral:rRNA from 1 species